UACGUAGGGUGCGAGCGUUAAUCGGAAUUACUGGGCGUAAAGCGUGCGCAGGCGGUCUGUUAAGUCCGAUGUGAAAUCCCCGGGCUUAACCUGGGAACUGCAUUGGUGACUGGCAGGCUUUGAGUGUGGCAGAGGGGGGUAGAAUUCCACGUGUAGCAGUGAAAUGCGUAGAGAUGUGGAGGAAUACCGAUGGCGAAGGCAGCCCCCUGGGCCAACACUGACGCUCAUGCACGAAAGCGUGGGGAGCAAACAGG
rnacentral:rRNA from 1 species